CAGCAGCCACGGUAAUACAGAGGGUGCGAGCGUUAAUCGGAAUUACUGGGCGUAAAGCGUGCGUAGGCGGCUUUUUAAGUCGGAUGUGAAAUCCCUGAGCUUAACUUAGGAAUUGCAUUCGAUACUGGGAAGCUAGAGUAUGGGAGAGGAUGGUAGAAUUCCAGGUGUAGCGGUGAAAUGCGUAGAGAUCUGGAGGAAUACCGAUGGCGAAGGCAGCCAUCUGGCCUAAUACUGACGCUGAGGUACGAAAGCAUGGGGAGCAAACAGGAUUAGAUACCCCGGUAGUCCCUGUCUCUUAUAC
rnacentral:rRNA from 1 species